rnacentral:rRNA from 1 species
UGGCUCAGAUUGAACGCUGGCGGCAUGCCUUACACAUGCAAGUCGAACGGCAGCACGGGGGCAACCCUGGUGGCGAGUGGCGAACGGGUGAGUAAUACAUCGGAACGUGUCCUGUAGUGGGGGAUAGCCCGGCGAAAGCCGGAUUAAUACCGCAUACGCUCUACGGAGGAAAGGGGGGGAUCUUAGGACCUCCCGCUACAGGGGCGGCCGAUGGCAGAUUAGCUAGUUGGUGGGGUAAAGGCCUACCAAGGCGACGAUCUGUAGCUGGUCUGAGAGGACGACCAGCCACACUGGGACUGAGACACGGCCCAGACUCCUACGGGAGGCAGCAGUGGGGAAUUUUGGACAAUGGGGGAAACCCUGAUCCAGCAAUGCCGCGUGUGUGAAGAAGGCCUUCGGGUUGUAAAGCACUUUUGUCCGGAAAGAAAACCUCUGGGUUAAUACCCCGGGGGGAUGACGGUACCGGAAGAAUAAGCACCGGCUAACUACGUGCCAGCAGCCGCGGUAAUACGUAGGGUGCAAGCGUUAAUCGGAAUUACUGGGCGUAAAGCGUGCGCAGGCGGUCCGCUAAGACAGAUGUGAAAUCCCCGGGCUUAACCUGGGAACUGCAUUUGUGACUGGCGGGCUAGAGUAUGGCAGAGGGGGGUAGAAUUCCACGUGUAGCAGUGAAAUGCGUAGAGAUGUGGAGGAAUACCGAUGGCGAAGGCAGCCCCCUGGGCCAAUACUGACGCUCAUGCACGAAAGCGUGGGGAGCAAACAGGAUUAGAUACCCUGGUAGUCCACGCCCUAAACGAUGUCAACUAGUUGUCGGGUCUUCAUUGACUUGGUAACGUAGCUAACGCGUGAAAGU